AAAGCUUUAAUACAGAAUGUGACCAACAUUCCUAUGCUGGACAAUGAGAAACAUGCAUUUGGCAUGCAUCACAGAAAGAUAUGAUGGAAGAACCAUAUCCAUUUUAGCAUGUUUUCCUUACAACCUUAGAGAAUAUCUGAAGCAAAAUUAGAGUACACAGUGUAUGCAGGAGAGUGCCUUGCUGUUCCAUUGUUUGGUUUCCAGCAACACGUAGAGUGAUUCCUUUUCUCUUUUCAUUUAUGGUAUGGAGGUUCCACUUUAAUUUUUCCCAGGCCUCCCAUGUCUUCCCAGGCUCUCAUUCUCUUUUGCCACUACUUUUGCCAUUUGGGACCAAAACUGCAAUCAACUAUUCAAGCAAAGCACUGAAAAAUUUGAUUGAAUGUGAAGUACGGAAUCAAGUUCCUCAUUCAACUUGUGUCAGCUUUCUUUUUUCGCUAUGAUCUUAAUCACUGCCUUUUUCCCAGUUGAUACUUAGCAACUUCGUUGCAGAAUGUGCUGGCACAUUUCAUCUCUUUUAUGCUUUUUCUAUGUCUUUUGUUGCCUUUAUUCCUCCGUGCUCUUCUUCUGUAGCUCCAUUUUAACCACUUCAUGUUGCUUAGCAACACCCAGAAUGACACCAACAAGGUAAGGUCCCACUGCUUCUAGCAAGAUCACUUACCAGGCAAUGCGAUCCACCAAAUAGUGAAGGAAAACCAGUGUUGUUCAGUAUGACUUGUUUCUCACCAUCCUUUUUCUCCCUUUUGACUUAGUUCUACACAGUAAGUCCUCAUGUACAGAUGUAUGUAUAUAUAUGCAUAAAUAUGCCCUUCCUAAUAAUGUGAAGGGUUAUAUAUGGUGACUAACCUGCUCUCACUCUGACCCUGCUACCAACUGGUUUUAGAAAUAAAUCCAAAUGAAUAAAAAAGGCUUAGAAUCAUCCCCAGCAAAGCAAGCUCCACCGCCAGUCAGAAAGAAAAGAAAGAAGACGCUUCGGUGUCUGAAGCUGGCAUUUGAAAGUAGCUGGGGUACAGAUACAUCGCUUCACAUCGCGCUGGGCUUGACUCUCCUGGGUUUGAUUCAGAUGCAAUUCCAUGGAUGUGGGCGAAAGCUGCGUGUACCUUUUGUUAGUCAAAAUUAUCAGUUACUUAAAGUCAUAGUCGCAGCCACAGCUAUGGGAGCAGGGUUACUGAUGUUAGGUAUUAUAGCAACUCACAGUUUGCAUAACGCGUUUCCACUCUCUGUUCUUUAGACGAGAAACCCUGCUGCCACCUCACUGAAACCAGAGGGUUCAGGGAGGUGGAUCCAACCUCAACCCUGUACAUCAGGUAAUAUCUGUGCCCUUCACUGAACUGCCCUUAAAUUCCUCUUCAAGACACAGAAACAUGGACCAUCCUCUCCCUGCAAAGGGGACAUCCCUAGCCCUACGGUUACUGUGAUCUAAGGAAUCACCUUCCCUCUCUUAGAAGUGCUCUUUGCACAUUGUGUCUGAGAUCAGCACACAGUGCUGCUGAAAAUGUUGUAAUUUGUUGUAUUCUGGAUGAGAUUUGCCUUUUGGGUUUGUUGCUUGUUUGUUCAAUGCCAUCCCUGUGUUUUAAACAUUUCAUAUUUUAGCAGAUUUUUAAUAGUAGCUCCACUUACAAGGGUAUUUAUAGGAGACCUACGAGCAAAUCUCUCCAUCUGUCCCUUCUAUCAUGCUUUUUAAGUGAAGCAGCAAACUGUUCUGAGUGUGGCACUGCCUGUUCGCAAGGUUUGUAUUCAAGCUGAUGUUGGUAGAAGUUAGAAGACACCAACCAUGUUGUACCAGUUUUGGUGCACCACCUGGUAGGUGUCUGCAAGAACUGCAAAAUAAUAACCCUUUAAUAACUGAAGCUGCCUCUUUCAGAUGGUAACACCACUCUCUUGACUAGAUGACCUUAGAAGGUUCCUUCCAAACCAAACUAUUCUACAAUUCUAUGAUUCUUGCUUAUGUUGAUGCAAUUCAGAAAAAAAAACCGAACAACAGCACAUCACUAGUGAAACUAGGAGAAGAAAAAC
ensembl:lncRNA